CGAAAUCGGUAGACGCUACGGACUUUUAAAGACCGUGAGGGUUCAAGUCCCUCUACCCCCAAAUCAAUUUUAAU
rnacentral:tRNA from 1 species